UUGGUCAAAGCCUGCCUGGGAAGGGUGGGGUGAGAGGUGGAGCUGGGGUAGGGUGACCAGGUGUCCGGUUUUGGACCAGAACACCCAGUCGAAAAGGAAUCCUGACAGCUCCAGUCAGCACCACUGACCGGGCCGCUGAAUGUCCGGUUUGGGGCGCCGCAGAAGGGCUGGCAGGCUCCCUGCUAGCGCCCAGCCCACGCAACGCCUGGGUCAGGAAGAAACCGGCAUAUCCGACUCCUAGCCUUAGGGGCUGCCCGUGGGUCCACGUACUGCCCUGCCCACAGGCGCAGCUCCCAUUGGCUGGGUCAGGGCAGGAAAAGAACUAGCGCCACUUGAGAGCGCUCAGCAGGCAGCUGUUUAGGGGUCACGUGGCGUGCGCUUCUCUCUUCGCUGCCCGGCCCUCUUCUCCUCGCACGGCUGGGCUCAAGCUGAAGCACAUGCCCUGCAGUAAACCAUGCGGUCUGUCGCCCCAUCGCCGGCACCCAGGAGUUGGAGGUACAGGGAGCCCUGCAGUAUGCAGCGGGGAGGGGAGGACAGGACUCCAAAGAAGAUGCAAACCAUGCCUGCCAGGUGAGCACAGCAGAUGAAAGGGACGGGAGCUCACAGCCUUUGGCAUGGUGACCUUGAAAGGUGCCCCCUCCAUACCAGUUGAAUGUCUGACCCACAUCAGGCAAAAAAAGAAGCAAACUAGGAAGGAUCUGCUAUGUGAGAUCCUCCAGUUGUUUAUAGCCGUGAACAGAGAGACUGGAGGGGCUGAAUGUACAAGACCAGGGAGAACUAAGAACUGCUGGAGGAGAGUCAAAUGGACCGAGAGGUGCAGCAGGAAGUGCACUAUGAUAUUAUGGCUUUGAUCAGAGCGGAUUCAAACCAGUUGGGACUGGCUUGUAACUGCCAUCCCCUCAGAACUUUUUCGCCACUCACUCUUUAUAAGGAACUAUGCCAUGUCAUCACGGGGCUGUCCGUCCAGGAGGCAGCCAUGUGCAGUCGGGCUUUUGCGUGGAUCUCUGGAUCAAGAGCUGUGAAGGAUCCAGUGACUCCAUCAACUUACCUGCCAUCCAGGGUCCUGUGGUCCACCACCCAGCAGCUUUGGUCCACCAGCUUGUCACCAUCCAGCAGCUGAGAUCCAAUGUUCCUCCCCAAAGGCCAGCGUUUGGCCUGAGGGUAGAAGGUCCUGGACCCACCACUCACUAUCAUCUGACCUGCCCGUAGAGGACAUUGGAGUAGCAGUAGGCUAUAUAGGAGAUUUGAUUUGUUUUAUUAUUGUUGCCGUGGGAGGGGUAUAUUGGGCCUGAGCUUCAAGCUCCUUUGUUGCAGUCCACUGUUUGCUGUGUUUUUCUGUGUUUGCUUGUGGUUGUCCCUUUACCCCUUUCAUGUAACCAACCCUAAUACACUACUUACCUGACUCAAACAUAA